UCAGCUUGAAGGCCACAGGUACUCGCCACCUUGUUGCUUUGCAACCCUGCGAGUGGGAAGGUCCGCGUGCGCCUCUUUGUCUUACCUUUUGUGUGGGAACGGUAAUGCUGUCUGUCACGCUUGCAGAAUGUCUUUCUACUACGUUAAUGACGAAUUGUGCAUGCUUUUGUGUCUCUAACAGCUCUUGCUGGGCGAGUGGCAUAAUGCCCUGAGGUUGGCCUGCACCAGAAACGACUCUUGCGCAGUAGCUUCAAAUGGUGCUUUCCCCGGGAUUCUCCCGCUCGGAGACACAUUUGACGUAGCAGGCGGAGAUUGGAAUCAGGUCUACUCAAAUGGAGAACAUGGGCAUGUGCAGUGCGGUAGAUGGACUGGUUCUCUGCUUCAUGACUGACAGUGUGGCUGUUGACGAAGAGGCCGCUUUUUUAAGCUUGAGUGCAAUCUGUGGCGCCUCUUUAGAGCAAACUCGACGCGAGACUACUCUCAAGCUGG
rnacentral:RNase_P_RNA from 2 species